CAUAAGAAAAAAAAAAAUCAAUAAAAAUACAGCAAAGAAAGAAAAAAAAAAAGGCAGAAAAAACUAAAAACCAAAAUAGUGAAGGGAUUGGAUGGGGGAAAAAACUGGGUCAUAGGGAAAAAAUCAGAAAAUGCAAAGUCCAAAUGUGCUGUUCCAAAUGCCAAAAGAGCUCUCUUUACACCUUUUCCCUCCUUUCUUUUUUGUAACCUACAGCCUGCUGGACUUAUUCAGAACAUGGGGUCAACGAAAUGCAGAAGGCCAAGAUGACCCAGCUUCAGUCCAGGAGGGCCAUUCACUUGUGAAAGGAAGAAGCACUGCAACCUGCUGUCAGCCUGGAAUGUUGGUGUAAAAUCCAUAAAAUCCAUGCAGUUAUGCUGCCUUCACAGUGAAGCCUCCAGCCAGAUGGAAUUUGCAUGUGUGAGGAGUUUGUGCUGGGUGGAAAUAUCUGAAAUACUGCAGUUACCUGUUGGUUGAAGAACAAGCAUCCAUGGAUGAAUUGUCCCACUGACUGACCAAUACCACACAAUAAAAAAGUCCCUUUCCUGCUGGGGUUUAGCAGUGCUCUUGUUUCCAUGUCUGCACAGACACCAUGCAUGCUGCAAAUUAAAUGAUAAAAUUAAAAAUACAAUGUUCCCUACUGGUUUGUGUUUAUGCAACAGAGAGAGCCAAGGAGAAGAUGUGACCCAUACACUCUGGUUAUAGAACUGUCAUCUUAUGGAAAUUUACUAUUUUGGUAAUCCUAGGUACUCCUCUGGGACUCUGGCCUUUGUCUGUGUUGAUAUUUCCACCUGGAGGAGCUGAGGCCUAGAACAAGUUGCUCAAAUAAAAUGCCAUAACACUGCCAAGCCAAAGGAAAUACCAGUGGUGGAAGAUAGAUGGAUAAGCAAAUUCAGUGGGUUACUUGCAGGGAACUUGGAGCUACUCAGACAUGUGAAGGGAAGAAUAUUCACUGAAGAAGCAGAGUGGAACUCUCCUCCAUUUAAAGGUAUUCGUCGACUGAAGUGGGAAUAUUCAAAGCAUAUUUUUCACCUAUUAAGCAAGUACCAGCUGCUGGAACAGAAAGAGAAUGGAUCCAGCAGGCUCCUUCCUUUGCUCUGAGAGCUCUGAGAGCAUCUCAAAGGCUGCCCUAGGCUCUAAUGUCUGGUAAAAGAUCCCAGAGGAUGAGAAUUGGUGAUGACAACUCCAGCAACACAAACUCCCAUCUCUCUCCUGCCUGGAUAUGACUUCAGAGGAAUUUUCUUAAGGAUGUGGGAUGCCCUUCACAUAUAACAUGAAUGUUUUAAUAUAUGGAAAAUUCAGUCAAACCGUGGUAUCUCCAAUACAAAAAUAGCUGGUUCUCCUUCUCUACCAUUCCUGCAACAAUAAAGCCACUAUUGAACCUUUUGUGUUUAUUCAAAGAGCAGCAAAACUUACUGGGAACCAGGAAUUACUUAAUAAUAAUGAGUGUGACUAAGUAAAAGGCCUAAAAGACAGCUCAGACAUCUAAAAAUACAAUUAAAGAGACAUGAUUAGAAACAACUGAAUGAUAUUAAAGAGCAGUGAAGGAUUGGUUUUGGAGCAGAAAAGCUUUCUGACAAAAAUACCAGUCUAAGUUUACAAGAGCUGUUUACUACACAAAAUGCUGGAAGCAUUGAUGGACUAGUCAAAUUUAUGGAAUCACCAGAAAUUCAGUGCAAGCCAGAAAAAUUGUUU
rnacentral:lncRNA from 1 species